GCCCUUCACUACGGAAUAGCCUCGGGAAACUGAGAGUAAUACCUUAUACGCCCUUCGGGGAAAGAUUUAUCGGAUUUGGAUCGGCCCGCGUUAGAUUAGGUAGUUGGUGGGGUAACGGCCUACCAAGCCUACGAUCUAUAGCUGGUUUUAGAGGAUGAUCAGCAACACUGGGACUGAGACACGGCCCAGACUCCUACGGGAGGCAGCAGUGGGGAAUCUUGGACAAUGGGCGCAAGUGAUCCAGCCAUGCCGCGUGAGUGAUGAAGGCCUUAGGGUCGUAAAGCUCUUUCGCCAGGGAUGAUAAUGACAGUACCUGGUAAAGAAACCCCGGCUAACUCCGUGCCAGCAGCCGCGGUAAUACGGAGGGGGUUAGCGUUGUUCGGAAUUACUGGGCGUAAAGCGUACGUAGGCGGAUCAGAAAGUUGGGGGUGAAAUCCCGGGGCUCAACCCCGAACUGCCUCCAAAACUCCUGGUCUAGAGUUCGAGAGAGGUGAGUGGAAUUCCGAGUGUAGAGGUGAAAUUCGUAGAUAUUCGGAGGAACACCAGUGGCGAAGGGGCUCACUGGCUCGAUACUGACGCUGAGGUACGAAAGUGUGGGGAGCAAACAGGAUUAGAUACCCUGGUAGUCCACACCGUAAACGAUGAAUGCCAGUCGUCGGGUAGCAUGCUAUUCGGUGACACACCUAACGGAUUAAGCAUUCCGCCUGGGGAGUACGGUCGCAAGAUUAAAAA
rnacentral:rRNA from 1 species